UACUAGAGUAGCACUCGCAUAUCAAUAAGCGGAGGAAAAGAAACUAACAAGGAUUCCCCUAGUAACGGCGAGUGAAGCGGGAAGAGCUCAAAUUUGAAAUCUUAAAGGGUUUCCCUUUACGAAUUGUAGUUUAAAGAAGUGUUUUCUGUUGAGGUUUUGGUAAAAGUUCUUUGGAAUAGGACAUCAUAGAGGGUGAGAAUCCCGUAUUUGACCUUUACUUUCAACUUUGUGAUACACUUUCAAAGAGUCGGAUUGUUUGGGAAUGCAGUCCAAAAUGGGUGGUAAAUUUCAUCUAAAGCUAAAUAUUGGCGAGAGACCGAUAGCGAACAAGUACCGUGAGGGAAAGAUGAAAAGAACUUUGAAAAGAGAGUUAAACAGUACGUGAAAUUGUCAAAAGGGAAGCGUUUGACACCAGUGUUGUUUUUCUGAAAAUCAAUUAAAGAACUGUUUAUGCUAAGUUGUUUAGACUUUAUCAGCUAACUGUUUAGUUUUGAGCUUUUCUUUAAUGCACUUUUCAGUUAACAAGUCAACAUCAAUUUCUUUUGCUGUAAAAAAGCUUGAGGAAGGUGGCUUGAGAUUCGUCUUAAGUGUUUAUAGCCUCUUGCCUAUGCAGUCGGAGAGAUUGAGGUCUGCAGCGUAGAUCCUUCGGGGCUAAAUGCAUUUGUGCUACGUUAUAGCAUUUUAUAGACAACUUGUUGACUAUGAUUUGUCUUGUAGCUUACUCGCUUAUGUUAUUUUACCUACGCUUAGGAUGUUGAGCGCAUGUCUCUCUCU
rnacentral:rRNA from 1 species